GGGCGAAUGGUUUAGUGGUAUAAUACUCCCUUAGCAUCUUCUCAACGAGAUUUUCCUUCUGGGAGUGGUCCAGGGUUCGAUUCCCUGUUCGUCCA
rnacentral:tRNA from 1 species